UGAGACGCUGGCCAGCAGGAUCUAAAGCUGUCAUUGAGUUCAGUUCCUAUAAACCCACUCACUGCAGCAGGAGAGACUGAGGGGAGACAGCAGAGGCGUGUUUAAUUGCAGGAGCCCCUCAGCGGAGCCCUCCCAGAGUAAUUAGAGAAGAAUGGAAGUGUGGGACCAAACUGAGGGGCCUGGAUCAUUCGGCUAUUCUGCUGAGUUCAUCAUCCUGCGGUUGCCUGUGAGGAACUCGAGGGGAGGGGCAGGACAUGACUGGCAACCCCAACCCUAACAAGGUCCAGAUGGUGCUGCAGCGCUGGAGAAAGGAGUUUUAUUCAUAGCAGACAUUUUCAUCAACCCAGCUGGACUUUGGCUUAAGAAGGCAAAAGAAGUGAAAGCCCUUUUCUGGAUAGCAUCCUCACAAAACCGCAGGAUCACACAACUUGGUUGCCAAAGAAGUUUGAUUGUGAUGUGCGGGCAGUGAGACGUGGUCCAGUGCGUUUGGACAGCAGGAGGGCGUCACAUGGCCAGAAUUUACGUGCUUCCUCUGGGGCAGUCGUGGGCUGGAGGUUAGGGAACCAGCCCUGUGACCAGAAGGUUGCCGGUUCAAUCCACUCAGCUGAUACUGUGACUGAAGUAUCCUUGAGCAAGGCACCUAACCCCCAAAUUGCUCCCCAGGUGCUGUGGAUAGGGCUGCCCACUG